rnacentral:rRNA from 1 species
AUUUAUUUCCGACGCAAACUUUGCUUUUCGGGCGGCUGCUUGAGGACUACGAGUGUGUGCUUAAAACUCAAAGAACUUGGCGGCUUGUCAACUUCCUAGGGGAAUAUGCGCCUUAAUCCGAUGAUCCCCGUCGAAUCUUACUGGGCCUUGAAAGAGUGCAGUUGGUGUAUUGCCGUUGUCAGCUUGUUGUUCGAGCAAAAAGGAACGAGCUCAAUGGGGCUGGUUGAUUAUUUCGCUGGUACCCGCGAAUUCAGGUCGUAAUGCCGCCGAUGGCCCAAGGGAGUGGGUGUUACAGUUUAUAUUUAAAAUUACGGAUCCCUAUUUUGAAAUAUUGGGGUGAAGGUGAACUUAGAAGUAAGGGGAAAUUAAUAUGUUUCCCUGAAUUUGAGUCUGGCUUGAGUACAAACUGCCCGUCGCUCUCGCCGUGAGGUGAGAU